rnacentral:rRNA from 1 species
CGGACGGGUGAGUAAUGUCUGGGAAACUGCCUGAUGGAGGGGGGUAACUACUGGAAACGGUAGCUAAUACCGCAUAACGUCGCAAGACCAAAGAGGGGGACCUUCGGGCCUCUUGCCAUCGGAUGUGCCCAGAUGGGAUUAGCUAGUAGGUGGGGUAACGGCUCACCUAGGCGACGAUCCCUAGCUGGCCUGAGAGGAUGACCAGCCACACUGGAACUGAGACACGGUCCAG